UACAGAGGUCCCAAGCGUUGUUCGGAUUCACUGGGCGUAAAGGGUGCGUAGGUGGCGAUGGAAGUUCGAUGUGAAAGCUCGGAGCUUAACUCCGAAAUGGCAUUGAAUACUCUAUGGCUUGAGGGUCGGAGGGGAGACUGGAAUUCUCGGUGUAGCAGUGAAAUGCGUAGAUAUCGAGAGGAACACCAGUGGCGAAGGCGAGUCUCUGGACGACACCUGACACUGAGGCACGAAAGCUAGGGGAGCAAACAGG
rnacentral:rRNA from 1 species